rnacentral:rRNA from 1 species
UACGUAGGGUGCAAGCGUUGUCCGGAAUUAUUGGGCGUAAAGAGCUCGUAGGCGGUCUGUCGCGUCGGCUGUGAAAACCCGGGGCUCAACCCCGGGCCUGCAGUCGAUACGGGCAGACUAGAGUGCGGUAGGGGAGACUGGAAUUCCUGGUGUAGCGGUGAAAUGCGCAGAUAUCAGGAGGAACACCGAUGGCGAAGGCAGCUUGCUGGGACGGUACUGACGCUGAGACGCGAAAGCGUGGGGAGCAAACAGG